rnacentral:rRNA from 1 species
GACGAACGCUGGCGGCGUGCUUAACACAUGCAAGUCGAACGGAAAGGCCCUGCUUUUGUGGGGUGCUCGAGUGGCGAACGGGUGAGUAACACGUGAGUAACCUGCCCUUGACUUUGGGAUAACUUCAGGAAACUGGGGCUAAUACCGGAUAGGAGCUCCUGCCGCAUGGUGGGGGUUGGAAAGUUUCGGCGGUUGGGGAUGGACUCGCGGCUUAUCAGCUUGUUGGUGGGGUAGUGGCUUACCAAGGCUUUGACGGGUAGCCGGCCUGAGAGGGUGACCGGCCACAUUGGGACUGAGAUACGGCCAAGACUCCUACGGGAGGCAGCAGUGGGGAAUAUUGCACAAUGGGCGGAAGCCUGAUGCAGCAACGCCGCGUGCGGGAUGACGGCCUUCGGGUUGUAAACCGCUUUCGCCUGUGACGAAGCGUGAGUGACGGUAAUGGGUAAAGAAGCACCGGCUAACUACGUG